UCGCCUGUUUAUCAAAAACAUGGCUGAGAAUUACUCUCAGUCAAAUCUGCCCAGUGAAAAUUUAACGGCCGCAGUAUCCUAACUGUGCUAAGGUAGCAUAAUCACUAGGUCUUUAAUUGAGAUCUCGUAUGAACGAUUCGUCGAAAGAUCUACUGUCUCGUAAAUAUCUCAAACUUACUACGAAAGUCAAAAAGCUUUCUCCUCCUCAAAGGACGACAAGACCCUGCAAAACUUUACUCCUUCGAGAACUGUCCAAGACUACCUUCACCCUCCCGCGAGUUUUACUGGGGCGGUAAUAAUCUCUACCAACAAUUAUCACCCUAACACGUUGAGUGACUUUUACAAACUUCUAAACCAAGAACAAGUUACUUCAGGGAUAACAGCGCAAUAAAUCUUUAGAGCCCUUAUCGACAGGUUUGAUUACGACCUCGAUGUUGAAUUGAAGAUCCUCGUCAGAGCAGACACUGCCGCAGGGAGUCUGUUCGACUUUUAAACCUUCACAUGAUCUGAGUUCAAACCGGA
rnacentral:rRNA from 2 species